CGCAUCUGUGCAUGCAGCAUAUCAAUAAGCGGAGGAAAAGAAACUAACAAGGAUUCCCUUAGUAACGGCGAGCGAACCGGGAUAAGCCCACCAUGAGAAUCGGUCGCCCUCGGCGUUCGAAUUGUAGUCUGGAGAAGCGUCCUCAGCGGCGGACCGGGCCCAAGUCCCCUGGAAAGGGGCGCCGGAGAGGGUGAGAGCCCCGUUGUGCUCGGACCCUGUCGCACCACGAGGCGCUGUCGGCGAGUCGGGUUGUUUGGGAAUGCAGUCCCAAAUCGGGCUGGUAAAUUCCGUCUCAAGGCUAAAUAUUGGCGAGAGACCGAUAGCGAACAAGUACCGUGAGGGAAAGAUGAAAAGAACUUUGAAAAGAGAGUUAAACAGUACGUGGAAAUUGUCAAAAGGGAAGCGUUUGACACCAGUGUUGUUUUUCUGAAAAUCAAUUAAAGAACUGUUUAUGCUAAGCUGUUUAGACCUUUAUCAGCUAAUCUGUUUAGUUUUGAGCUUUUCUUUAAUGCACUUUUCAGUUAACAAGUCAACAUCAAUUUCUUUUGCUGUAAAAAAGCUUGAGGAAGGUGGCUUGAGAUUCGUCUUAAGUGUUUAUAGCCUCUUGCCUAUGCAGUCGGAGAGAUUGAGGUCUGCAGCGUAGAUCCUUCGGGGCUAAAUGCAUUUGUGCUAAGUUAUAGCAUUUUAUAGACAACUCGUUGACUAUGAUUUGUCUUGUAGCUUACUCGCUUAUGUUAUUUUACCUACGCUUAGGAUGUUGACGAGACUGCGAUCUC
rnacentral:rRNA from 1 species